UCUCCAUGGCUGUCUUCUUUCCUUCU
rnacentral:piRNA from 1 species